rnacentral:rRNA from 1 species
GAUGAACGCUGGCGGCGUGCCUAAUACAUGCAAGUCGAACGAGUGGCGGACGGGUGAGUAAUGUCUGGGAAACUGGCUGAUGGAGGGGUAUAACUACGGGAAACGGUAGCUAAUACCGCAUACCAUCGGAUGUGCCCAGCUGGGAUUAGCUAGUAGGGGGGGUAACGGCUCACCUAGGCGACGAGGCAUAGCUGGUCUGAGAGGGUGACCAGCCACACUGGAACUGAGACACGGCCCAGACUCCUACGGGAGGCAGCAGUGGGGAAUAUUGCACAAUGGGCGAAAGCCUGAUGCAGCCAUGCCGCGUGUAUGAAGAAGGCCUUCGGGUUGUAAAGUACUUUCAGCGGGGAGGCGUUACCCACAGAAGAAGCACCGGCUAACUCCGUGCCAGCAGCCGCGGUAAUAC